CAGCCCUUGACAUGGCAGGACGGUUUCCAGAGAUGGAUUCCUUCACUUCGGUGACUUGCACACAGGUGCUGCAUGGCUGUCGUCAGCUCGUGUCGUGAGAUGUUGGGUUAAGUCCCGCAACGAGCGCAACCCUCGCCUUUAGUUGCCAUCAUUUAGUUGGGCACUCUAGAGGGACUGCCGGUGAUAAGCCGGAGGAAGGUGGGGAUGACGUCAAGUCUUCAUGGCCCUUACGGGCUGGGCUACACACGUGCUACAAUGGCGGUGACAGAGGGCAGCUAGUCCGCGAGGACAUGCUAAUCCCUAAAAGCCGUCUCAGUUCGGAUUGCACUCUGCAACUCGAGUGCAUGAAGUUGGAAUUGCUAGUAAUCGCAGAUCAGCACGCUGCGGUGAAUACGUUCCC
rnacentral:rRNA from 1 species